AGAGAAGGCGGGCGGCAGGCUUAACACAUGCAAGUCGAGCGGGCAUAGCAAUAUGUCAGCGGCAGACGGGUGAGUAACGCGCCGGCACGCACCUUUUCGUUCGGAACAACUGACGGAAACUCCAGCUAAUACCUGAUCAGACAUUCAGGGGAACGAUCUAUCGCCGAAAGAUCGGCACGCCCCUGAUUACCUACGUGUGGAUGUAAUGGCUCCCCAAGCCGACGAUCGCUAGCUGGUCUGAGAGGAUGAUCAGCCACAUUGGGACGGAGACACGGCCCACACGCCUACGGGAGGCAUGGUUUGUGAAUAUGGUACAAUGGGCGCAAGCCUGAUCGAGCACUGCCGCGUGAGUGAUGAAGGCCCGAGGGUUGUAAGGCUCUUUUGUGCGGGAAGAGAAUGACGGUACCGCAAGAAUAAGCCCCGGCUAACUUCGUG
rnacentral:rRNA from 1 species